rnacentral:antisense_RNA from 1 species
GGCACGAACGUAGAGGUCAGGCUAGGGCUGACGAUGCUGGCUAAGCGGGGCUGCCCAUCUGGGAAGUCGUCGUCGUAGUCACCGAUGUCCGUGACCUUCCAGAGCCUCUGGUAACCACUGUUCUACUCAAUACUUCUAUGAGAUAAACUUCUUUGGAUUCCACAUAUGAUCAAGAUCAUGAGGAAGGAGGAGCAAGUCUUCUUUGUCAUGCUGUUAAGAAAACACCCAGAGUCACAGCACCAUAAUCUCCUUGUGGAGCAGAACAAGUAAUAUAAAACUGAUCUAAAGAGGCCUCCCCUCUA